rnacentral:misc_RNA from 1 species
UCGUUGCUCCACGAGCUAACGUUGGAUGCAAAAUAUCGGGUUCCUGUGCUGCAUACCUAUCACGAUGGAAAACCGGUCCCUCUCGUCGUCCCUUUCAACCUUGCGUCCUCUCGGAUGCUCGGUUGGACAAAAGAUAGAAGGGCUCGUCCUCCACGGACAUCUCACGGGAUCGUUUGGAUGGAUCUCGAGCGCCUUCUUGUCCUCUCGGAUGUGGAACUCGCCUCACGGGCAUUGGGGUCAUGGGCCCUUGUUCUCGAAUGUGGAAGCGACGGGCGCUUCACACACCGGAAUGACGCUCUCGCCUUGUCCUUGAUCUUCUCGUGGCGCUCUCGGGCAACCACGAAGGAUCAUGCUCGGCGGACGUCGUGAAAGGAAUGC